UGGUGAUUUAUAAUAACUUAGCAAAUCGCAAAGUGAAAACAGGCGAUAAAUCAUUCAAGUUUCUGACCUAUCAGCUUUCGACGGUAUGGUAUUGGCUUACCGUGGCAGUGACGGUUAACGGGGGAUUAGGGUUCGAUUCCGGAGAGGGAGCCUGAGAAACGGCUACCACAUCUAAGGAAGGCAGCAGGCGCGCAAAUUACCCAAUUCUAACAGUUUGAGAGAGGUAGUAACAAGAAAUAACAAUACAAGGCAAUUAAAAUGCUUUGUAAUUGGAAUGAUAGAAAUUUAAACCCUUUUUAAAGUAUCAAUUGGAGGGCAAGUCUGGUGCCAGCAGCCGCGGUAAUUCCAGCUCCAAUAGCGUAUAUUAAAAUUGUUGCAGUUAAAAAGCUCGUAGUUGAAGUUCUGCUAAAAGUAACCGGUCUGCUUUUAAUAAAAGUGGUAUCUUGGUGUGUAUUUAGCAAUGAUGUCCUUUGAAGUGUUUUUUACUUUAUUGUAAUAAAGCAUAUUCAGGACUU
rnacentral:rRNA from 1 species